AUGGCCACGCCCACCUGUUACUCUAUAACUGUGGACCAGGUUCACUUGUGUUUCUACAGCCUCCACAACAUGGACCAGGUCCAACACACCGUCCUCAUCCUGGUUUUAGCUCUACUCUGCUUCAAAGGUUUUACAGAAGGGAACGAUGUAAAGCAGACUCGGAUUCUGUGGAAAGAGAUGGGACAAACAGCCACCAUGAACUGCAGUCACACUAAGGGUGUAGAGUACAACCAGAUGUACUGGUACCGACAGCUGCCAGGACAGAACAUGGAGCAGAUGGUGCUCACGACUACUUCUAAUUCUGACUUCGAACCAGACUUCAGAAACGACAGGUUCUCCACCACCAAACCUGACUCUUUCAGUGGAACGUUGACGGUGCAGAACCUGGAGUACGCAGAUACAGGCGUGUACUUCUGUUCUGUGAGUCAACACAGUGACACAGACUGAAGGGGAGGCUCAACAAAAACCUACAAACCACAUUGUGUUCAUCUAAUACACACAC